GACGAACGCUGGCGGCGUGCUUAGCACAUGCAAGUCGCACGGAAAGGCCCUGCUUUUGUGGGGUGCUCGAGUGGCGAACGGGUGAGUAACACGUGAGUAACCUGCCCUUGACUUUGGGAUAACUUCAGGAAACUGGGGCUAAUACCGGAUAGGAGCUCCUGCUGCAUGGUGGGGGUUGGAAAGUUUCGGCGGUUGGGGAUGGACUCGCGGCUUAUCAGCUUGUUGGUGGGGUAGUGGCUUACCAAGGCUUUGACGGGUAGCCGGCCUGAGAGGGUGACCGGCCACAUUGGGACUGAGAUACGGCCCAGACUCCUACGGGAGGCAGCAGUGGGGAAUAUUGCACAAUGGGCGGAAGCCUGAUGCAGCAACGCCGCGUGCGGGAUGACGGCCUUCGGGUUGUAAACCGCUUUCGCCUGUGACGAAGCGUGAGUGACGGUAAUGGGUAAAGAAGCACCGGCUAACUACGUG
rnacentral:rRNA from 1 species